GGGUCAGUAGGUUGGUCGUGCCACCGGUACGUACUGGUCUCACUGAUUCCUCCUUCCUGAAGAACCGUAAUGCCAUUAAUUUGGUGUUGCGGGGAAACAGGACUGUUACUUUGAAAAAAUUAGAGUGUUUAAAGCAAGCUAACGCUUGAGUACGUUAGCAUGGAAUAAUGAAAUAGGACGAUCGAUCCUAUUUUGUUGGUUUCUAGGAUUGACGUA
rnacentral:rRNA from 1 species